rnacentral:rRNA from 1 species
AGGGUUUGAUCAUGGCUCAGAUUGAACGCUGGCGGCAGGCCUAACACAUGCAAGUCGAGCGGUAGCACAGAGAGCUUGCUCUCGGGUGACGAGCGGCGGACGGGUGAGUAAUGUCUGGGAAACUGCCUGAUGGAGGGGGAUAACUACUGGAAACGGUAGCUAAUACCGCAUAAUGUCGCAAGACCAAAGUGGGGGACCUUCGGGCCUCAUGCCAUCAGAUGUGCCCAGAUGGGAUUAGCUAGUAGGUGGGGUAACGGCUCACCUAGGCGACGAUCCCUAGCUGGUCUGAGAGGAUGACCAGCCACACUGGAACUGAGACACGGUCCAGACUCCUACGGGAGGCAGCAGUGGGGAAUAUUGCACAAUGGGCGCAAGCCUGAUGCAGCCAUGCCGCGUGUGUGAAGAAGGCCUUCGGGUUGUAAAGCACUUUCAGCGGGGAGGAAGGCGUUAAGGUUAAUAACCUUGGCGAUUGACGUUACCCGCAGAAGAAGCACCGGCUAACUCCGUGCCAGCAGCCGCGGUAAUACGGAGGGUGCAAGCGUUAAUCGGAAUUACUGGGCGUAAAGCGCACGCAGGCGGUCUGUCAAGUCGGAUGUGAAAUCCCCGGGCUCAACCUGGGAACUGCAUUCGAAACUGGCAGGCUAGAGUCUUGUAGAGGGGGGUAGAAUUCCAGGUGUAGCGGUGAAAUGCGUAGAGAUCUGGAGGAAUACCGGUGGCGAAGGCGGCCCCCUGGACAAAGACUGACGCUCAGGUGCGAAAGCGUGGGGAGCAAACAGGAUUAGAUACCCUGGUAGUCCACGCCGUAAACGAUGUCGAUUUGGAGGUUGUGCCCUUGAGGCGUGGCUUCCGGAGCUAACGCGUUAAAUCGACCGCCUGGGGAGUACGGCCGCAAGGUUAAAACUCAAAUGAAUUGACGGGGGCCCGCACAAGCGGUGGAGCAUGUGGUUUAAUUCGAUGCAACGCGAAGAACCUUACCUGGUCUUGACAUCCACAGAACUUAGCAGAGAUGCUUUGGUGCCUUCGGGAACUGUGAGACAGGUGCUGCAUGGCUGUCGUCAGCUCGUGUUGUGAAAUGUUGGGUUAAGUCCCGCAACGAGCGCAACCCUUAUCCUUUGUUGCCAGCGGUCCGGCCGGGAACUCAAAGGAGACUGCCAGUGAUAAACUGGAGGAAGGUGGGGAUGACGUCAAGUCAUCAUGGCCCUUACGACCAGGGCUACACACGUGCUACAAUGGCAUAUACAAAGAGAAGCGACCUCGCGAGAGCAAGCGGACCUCAUAAAGUAUGUCGUAGUCCGGAUUGGAGUCUGCAACUCGACUCCAUGAAGUCGGAAUCGCUAGUAAUCGUAGAUCAGAAUGCUACGGUGAAUACGUUCCCGGGCCUUGUACACACCGCCCGUCACACCAUGGGAGUGGGUUGCAAAAGAAGUAGGUAGCUUAACCUUCGGGAGGGCGCUUACCACUUUGUGAUUCAUGACUGGGGUGAAGUCGUAACAAGGUAAC